AGCCAAAAGGGAAGUCGGAGCCGCAGCGCUGUCAACCGUAGGUGACGUGCGUUGAUUGGACGGCGCCGGGCGGACAGGGGAAGAAGGCGGGCAGUGAUUGGUCGUUCCGGAGCGGCCUAUUUGAAAGGCUGAGGGAAAGACUGGUGUGUAGGUGUCGGGCGCUGAGAGACUGUAGGCUCUCUUUUCCCCUGGUUUUUCCGCGAUAGGACCUAAAACAGAAGUUUUGACGGAUUGGAGCUACUCCUUUCUGCUACUUACGUGAGACCUGUUGCGAGCAGAUGCAGAUCUCCUGGGCUUGCAGGAAACUCCUGCCCGAACUUGGGUGAAAGGCACCGGAAGAUGCCUUCGGGGAAGAUGGCGGCGCUGCUACCGCACCGCCUUAGCCUGGAACACAGGCGGCUUCCAGCUAUCGAUUUUAUUGACCUGAGCGCCAUGCCGGCUUCCUAACCUCUUUGCCCUCAAGUGUGAUGGCGCUGCGAUUGGGCUUCACGCCCUUUUUUCCCCCAUUACGCGCGCCCAUUGGGCGGCGGCCGAAGAUCGGGCGUUCUGAUUGGAUGGUGGCGAAAGCGGCCUGUUUGAACGAAGCCAACCGAAGCUUAAGGGCAGGAAGCCGAGCCUGGGCGCCGGGUCCCUGCAGCCAGAUCGCAGGCGGGCGGCGGCGAGGUGGCUAGGCGUCUAAGUGACGGGCCCUGUUCUCUGGCAGCCGCUACCUCCCGGAGGAAGGGAAGGAUUUGAGUGACGGAGCCACCCCGGCCAACCUGGGGCUGAGAGUACCCCGGUGGCUUUCUCCGAAUUGGACAACUUCCUGGUGCCCUUUCGGGAGGGGAAAGAACGUUGGCGUUUCCUGCACGCAGGCACCGUACCCCUAUGACACAUUUCAUCUUUUUUUUUUUCUUUGCUACCGUUGUGUAAAGUUCGUGAUAGUUAUCCUCCGUUUCUACAGAUAGGAAAAAUCUCAAAGGGAUUCUGCUUGUAAGGAGAAGAAACAAAGAUUUAAACCCGA